UUUUGUAAAAAAAAAAAAAAAAUCUAAAUUUUAGGAUCGAAACGCAGUCGUCGACAAAAGGCAACUAUGGCCGGGAGGAAUAGUUCCAUAUGUUGAGGAUCCCGGUUUACAUAAAACCGUAUUUAAAUGGAUCCUUCAAAGAAGCUUCGAUGAAUAUCAUAAGAUGACCUGCAUAAAAUUUGUUCCUAGAACAACGGAAGCAGAUUAUAUUCGACUAUUCCCUGGACAAGGGUGUUACUCUCAUGUUGGGAAGACAGGAGGAGCUCAACCGGUUUCUUUGGGAGAACAUUGCGGUUGGGAAGGAACAAUUAUUCACGAACUGGGGCACGCCAUCGGCUUCUACCACGAGCAAAACAGAUCUGACAGGGAUCAGUAUAUAAGAAUAUUUUGGGAGAACAUAAAGACAGGUAUUCAUCUCUUUUCAAUAU